UUAUAGCCCCGAUAGCAGUGAAAAUCCUUGUGAGUCUCGUCUUUUCGGACGAGACUCACAAGAUUGUAACGGAUAGCGGGAUAUAUG
rnacentral:sRNA from 1 species